rnacentral:rRNA from 1 species
GCCCAGAUGGGAUUAGCUUGUUGGUGGGGUAACGGCUCACCAAGGCGACGAUCCCUAGCUGGUCUGAGAGGAUGACCAGCCACACUGGAACUGAGACACGGUCCAGACUCCUACGGGAGGCAGCAGUGGGGAAUAUUGCACAAUGGGCGCAAGCCUGAUGCAGCCAUGCCGCGUGUAUGAAGAAGGCCUUCGGGUUGUAAAGUACUUUCAGCGGGGAGGAAGGGAGUAAAGUUAAUACCUUUGCUCAUUGACGUUACCCGCAGAAGAAGCACCGGCUAACUCCGUGCCAGCAGCCGCGGUAAUACGGAGGGUGCAAGCGUUAAUCGGAAUUACUGGGCGUAAAGCGCACGCAGGCGGUUUGUUAAGUCAGAUGUGAAAUCCCCGGGCUCAACCUGGGAACUGCAUCUGAUACUGGCAAGC